GAUGAACGCUGGCGGCGUGCUUAACACAUGCAAGUCGAACGAUGAAGCCCAGCUUGCUGGGUGGAUUAGUGGCGAACGGGUGAGUAACACGUGAGUAACCUGCCCUUUACUCUGGGAUAAGCCUGGGAAACUGGGUCUAAUACCGGAUAGGAGCGUCCACAGUAUGGUGGGUGUUGGAAAGAUUUAUCGGUUUUGGAUGGACUCGCGGCCUAUCAGCUUGUUGGUGUGGUAAUGGCUCACCAAGGCGACGACGGGUAGCCGGCCUGAGAGGGUGACCGGCCACACUGGGACUGAGACACGGCCCAGACUCCUACGGGAGGCAGCAGUGGGGAAUAUUGCACAAUGGGCGGAAGCCUGAUGCAGCGACGCCGCGUGAGGGAUGACGGCCUUCGGGUUGUAAACCUCUUUCGGUAGGGAAGAAGCGAAAGUGACGGUACCUGCAGAAGAAGCACCGGCUAACUACGUG
rnacentral:rRNA from 1 species